UUGUCUGCGAGGCCCCAGUAAGAAUUUCCUCCUGCAGCUAGUUUACAAAAAUCUGGAGCUAAUUGUGGACAGGUGGGGUUAGGGCCAGUGUGGGAGGUGGUAAAGGCGGUAUCUCCGGCCUCAUUUAUAAUUACCCAGGUGUAAUUCCAAGUCUGAUAGGGGCUUGAUGUUCCGGAUGUUAGCACAGUUAGAAAGAGAAGUUUCAGUAGAAUCCAGUAGAACUUCAUUGCUCUGAAAAAGAAAACAUGCAUUUUUCUCAGGCGCCACCCUGGAAUUUGUUAUAAGGCUUUAUCAAUCUUGGAAUUUGUUUGAAAUUUAUUGUAAAGCUUUAUUAAUCUUUCAGGGAGCCAUCUGGCUCCCCCCUCUUUAGAGUUAUAAAUACAGGCGGACCCUUUUCCCCAGACUAUCACAGGGUCAGGACCCUGCCACUGUCCAGUUAGGGGGUCCUUCCAGAGAACGUGAGCGUGAUCCAUCUUGGUUGAGGGGUGCCAUAAGCGAUCGGCAGCUGAACGCCCUUGAUUAUCCAAAGUUAAGAAAUUCAAAACAAAAAGGGCAUGGGAUAAUAAAAAUUUUGCGCUGCCUUUAAGAGAAUAAAGAGUUUCUUGGGCAGUAAGCUUUAACAGUGUAUUCUUAAGGGUUUGAUGUGCUCGUUCCACAAUUCCUUGUCCCUGAGGCUUAUAAGGUAUGCCUGUAAUAUGUUUCAUUUGAAAUUGGGAGCAAAAUUGUUUAAAUUUAUGACUAACAUAGCCAGGCCCAUUAUCCGUUUUUAGCAUUUUGGGUUGUCCCAUAACAGAAAAUGUGUAGAGCAUAUGAGCAAUAACAUCUUUUGUGGCCUCUCCUGUGUGUGCAGAGGCACAUAUGAACCCACUAAAGGUAUCAAUGGUAACAUGUACAAAUUUUAGUUUUCCAAAAGAUGGGACAUGGGUGACAUCCAUUUGCCAUAUUUCUCCCGGGAUAAGGCCCCUGGGAUUAACCCCAAUGUGUGGCUCAGGAAGUAGGGUCAGGCAGUUUUUACAAUUUUUGACAAUUUGUCUGGCUUGUUCUCUAGUAAUUUUGUACUUAAGCCACAAUGUUUGAGCAUUAAGGUGAUGGAGUGAAUGUGCCAUCUGUGCUUCUUGUAAGGAAUCACUAAGAGAAGCAAUCAUUGUCAGUCUAGUGGCCCUGUCAGCUAAAUCAUUACCUUUGGUUAAAGGACCGGGCAGAUUCGAGUGGGCUCUGAUAUGGCCCACAAAGAAUGGGUUUGGCCGGGCCCUUAUGUGUUUUUGUAUUUCUGAAAAUAGUUUAAAGGUAUGUGUUGAGGGUUGUAUAGUAGAGACAGUCUCCAAGACUCGGAGAGCUCUGACUACAUAAUGGCUAUCAGAAAAAAGGUUAAAUGAUUGAUUUAUUAAUUUAAAUAUUUCUAAAGCACUAUAAAGUUCUACUAAUUGGGCAGAAGCAUAUGGGGUAUGGACAAAAAAAAACAUGAUCUUUAACAACAAAGGAGGCCUUUCCAUUCUUAGAUCCAUCUAUGAAGACAGUUAAGGCAUUUGGUAUAGGUUUCAGCUGUGUAACCUUUGGGAAGACAAAGGGGGUAACAUGGAGGAACUGUAAUAAUUUAUCUCCUGGUAAAUGAGUAUCAAAUGUUCCCUGAUAAAUAGACAGCAGGACUGUCCAGUCAUCAUGUCUGUGCUGCAGCCAAGCAAGCUGCUCCUGUGAAUAUGGAGAAAUAAUAAUAUCGGGAUCGCAGGGAAAAUGGCGAGUAGCCAGCUUAAGCCCCAAGAAAAUUGUCUGGCAAAUUAAGGAGGGAUAAGUAGGAAGUAUUUUAGGGGGGGGUUGCGGGCAGGUGGCUCCACAUUAGUGGAUGAUUAUCUUGCCAUAGGAGGCCUAUGGGUGUAAACCUUGUAGCGAAAAGGAUCAGAUACAGUGUCUUGGAGGGGCUGCCUCGGGAGUCAGAACCCUAAUGGAAUUAGGAUCAGGGCUACCCUUCAGAAUUGCAAAUAGAGGUUUUAAAUCACCAGUGGUUAGCUUAAGGUAAGGUCUAAGCCAAUUAAUAUCACCCAAAAGUUUUUGAAAAUCAUUUAAGGUAUGUAGCUGCGAUCUUCUAAUUGUUAGCUUUUGAGAAUAAAUGGAUAUAGGUUCUAAUUGGAAUCCAAGAAACAAAAAAGGAUAUUGCGUCUGAAUUUUUUCAGGGGCAAUGGUGAAACCCCUUUUUUGUAAGGCCAGAACAAUAAUUUGGGCUAGUUUUUGAGUUUCCUGUAAACAAGCAGAGGAAACCAAGAUAUCAUCUAUGUAAUGAAUGAUGUAAGCAGAGGGGAAACGCAGCCUUAUUGGAUCUAUAGUUUGGGCCACAUACCUUCGACAUAGGGUGGGGCUAUUAGCCAUCCCCUGUGGUAACACUCGCCACUGAAAGCAGGGAUUAGGGCCCACAUGGUUAAUGACAGGGAUAGAAAAGGCAAAGCGGGCACAAUCCUCCGGAUGAAGGGGAAUAGAAAAGAAACAAUCUUUUAUAUCAAUGACUAUUUUAUAAAAGUCUCUAGGAAUAGCUAUUGGAGAAGGCAAGCCAGGUUGUAGGGCCCCCAUAGGGACCAUAGUUUUAUUAACCGCUCUAAGGUCUUGUAACAAUCUCCAAGAACCAUUUUUCUUUUUUAUGACAAAAAUAGGGGUGUUCCAAGGCGAAGUGGACUGUUCAAGGUGCCCUUGUAAUAAUUGUUCCUGCACCAACUAUAGGGCCGCUUGAACCUUUUCUUGAGGCAUGGACCACUGAUCGAUCCAGACUGGAUCAUUUGACUUCCAAGAUAUUUUAUCAGCCUGGAGUGCAGGAGGAACAGCGGUCUCUAUGAAAAAAGGUCAGGAGCUUUGAACUUUGGAGUGUAUCCUGUGUUUGACCUAUCCCUUUUAAAUGUGUGGCAGUAGCCUUAAGGGGCCAGGUUGAGGGCCAGUGUCUAGAGGAGAGCACUGUUGUAUCCGCCCCUGUAUCUAAAAGGCCCUGAAAUUGUUUGCCAUCAAGCCAAAGAGACAUCAUGGGUCUUUCAUCAGUUAAUUUUUGCACCCAAUAAACAUCUGAAGAGCCAGGGGAGGAAGAA